rnacentral:tRNA from 1 species
UUCUUGGUAGUCCAGUGGCUAAGACUCUGUUCUCCCAAUCCAGGGGGCCCAGGUUCAAUUCCUGGUCAGGGAA